AUAGCUCAGUGGUAGAGUGCAUGCUUAGCGUGCACGAGGUCCUGGGCUCAAUCCCCAGU
rnacentral:tRNA from 1 species